ACGAAGGGGGCUAGCGUUGUUCGGAAUUACUGGGCGUAAAGCGCGUGUAGGCGGUUGUCCAAGUUGGAUGUGAAAGCCUUGAGCUUAACUCAAGAAAUGCAUUCAGGACUGGAUGACUAGAGGACCGGAGAGGAUAGUGGAAUUCCCAGUGUAGUGGUGAAAUACGUAGAGAUUGGGAAGAACACCAGUGGCGAAGGCGGCUAUCUGGACGGUUUCUGACGCUAAGACGCGAAAGCGUGGGGAGCAAACAGGA
rnacentral:rRNA from 1 species